rnacentral:lncRNA from 12 species
GUCAGUCAUCUGAAAUGUGCCUCCCUAUGUUUUGUUUCUCUUUGGGGACAUCCCUAUGUUUUGUUUCUCUUAUCAUUUACACUGCUAGAAAGAUAGAACAUCAGUAUUUUCUUCUCCAAAGACAUUCAAACGGUGGUUUCUCCUCAGCUCUAUAGUGAUGAAUAAUGCUUGACAUUCAGUUGGAUGGUCUUCCUCAGCCUGUGAUUGUCGAUCCCUGAGAUUUUUAAAUGGAGUUAAUAAGGAGACUCUCUGGAAUGUUGCCUUACUAUCAUUUCACAUCUGACCUCCAAAAUAUUAGUACCAUGAAAAAGUUGAAGCCAACAGAAUGAGGAAAUAGCACUCAAACCUUUCAACUCUGCCUUUACAAAGACAAUGUAUCUGAAAAGAAAGACCUAUCAUCAAGGAAACCUGAAAUCACCAAUCUUUCCAUUUCCCAGAAUGUACUUGCAAGCCAGUACCCACUUUUCAGAUUACAAGCUUGGGAGAGGAGGAAAGAGAAAACCAAAAACAUCUGCUGUGUCCCUGAAAAGGCAAGUUUGAACACAUAUUUUAUCCUUUAUCUCCUGUGGAAGCUGGACCCAGCCUACUAUCUGUUGAAUAAGUACGUCAAUUAUUAAUCUAU